GCUGGACUUGGAGCGCGCUCCUGUAGUUCCAGCUACUUGGGAGACUGAGACAGGAAGAUCACUUGAGUUCAGGAGUUCUGGGCUGUAGUGCACUAUGCCAAUCAGGUGUCUGCACUAAGUUCUGCAUCAAUAUAGUGACCUCCCAGGAGCAAGGGCCACCAGGUUGCCUAAGGAGGGGUGAACCGACCUAGUUUGGAAAUAGAGCAGGUCAAAGCUCCCAUGCUGAUCAGUAGUGGAUCGAGUCUGUGAAUAGCCACUGCACUCCAGCCUGAGCAGCAUAGCAAGAUCCUGCCUCUC
rfam:Otolemur garnettii contig079501, whole genome shotgun sequence.